rnacentral:lncRNA from 1 species
GGAAACAAAAUCCUCAGAUUCAUGAAGGGAAAUAUAUCUUAAGCAAUCUAAGAGUGCUCUUUAAAGAGUCAGAGGUGGAAGAAAUAAAAGAUACUGCUCUGUAUAUUCUCCCUAGUACCUGAGGUUUCUCACAGAGCUACUGUCAGUCUGUUUUCUGAUAGAUAGUGAGAGAAAGUCUUGUCUGAAGUUGGGCUUCAUCCCUAAAAAAAGGCUUGAUGAAGUCUUGCAAACUGAUCACUACAACCAGGGAAGGGAGUGCCUGAAGUCACCAGAACCCAGUACCAGAUCUUCUGUCAGAGAUUUAUAAUCCAUGGUGUUAGCCACCCAGAUCCACAAGCAUCACUUUAGCUCAACCAGAGGAAUGAGGAAUGCAGAGUCAAGCUGCUUCCAAUUACCAGAAGCCUGGUUUUCUCCAGAGUGUGGGUGGGCUAUUUCAGAGGUCUUUUUCUUAAUGUUCUGUCUGGACCACCCCAUAUGGCUCAGGGCAGUCUAAAUAAACCAUGGGACAUAUUUAAAUGCCUCUUUUAUAUGCCUGUGUAUAUUACAAAGGAUGUCUUACCCAUUUACUUUUAGAAAGCUUCAUAAUUAUCUCACUGUUGUUUCAAUAAAUCCAUCCAUUAAAACACUCUUUUUUUUCCUUCAGUAAAUUAAUGCCAUUUAUCAGAAAGAAUGGGAUAUUUUUGAAGUCAUGAUGAAAGAAAAGCAAUUGGAUACAGCAAACUCACCCAUGCCUCCUAGUACUUACUAAGCAUGAGCCUACCACCCUAGACAGAUGGAACUUUGCAAGGUAAUGUCAAGUGUCCUUUUAGGGUCACAGAGAGAGGACUCAUUUAAUUAGUUUCUAUAAUCCUAGGUUAAUCCUGCUGAGAAUUACUAAUGUGAUUUUUACUUAUGUACAAGAAUAAUCUAUUGUUCCACACACAUUUCUGGCAAAACAAAUUAAAAAUCAUGUACCUUGUUUUUAAUUUAUUAGUGCCAUAAUAAAGAAAGAGAUCCCAAACGUGCACCACAGUCCCACAGGUAGUUUCUCCCUGAAAUUAGGCAAGAGUGGGGCGUGGGCUGAUGCCCUGCAGGGUUUCCCCCACCAGCACAGCAUCCUUGCAGAAGCGGAAUCGGAAGGCCACCGCGACCUCGGUGGGGCGCCAUCUGGAAGCCGGGCACUCGAUUCCACCCGGCCACCCGCAAGCACUCGCCGCGGCAGCCACGUCCCCAAGCGACAACUCCACGCAGACUGCCACAGCGCCCAAAGUCUCGCUAACACUGCGAGCCCGCCGGAAAACGGAGGCCCUGAAAAGCAGGCCGGGCCCGCCCGCGUCCAUGAACUUCCAAGCCAGGCCGGAGACGCGUGGCAAGCGACCCCAGACACCAUGAGGCCUGGGCCAGGCAGGGCCCAGCCCCGCACGGAUAACUGUGAGCUUCGGCCGCGUAGGAAUCGCAGAGCGGACGCCGCACUCCGCAUUCCACAGCCCGCCCGAAGCGGCCCGCCUCGCGGCGCUACCUGCAGGUCCCAGCCAGCCGUCUCCAGGACGAAACGAGCCCUUUCCUCCUCAGUGCCCGUCACCGCCAUGAACUCCCUCAACGCCUCCUGCUCCUCCGCCGCCAUCUUUGCCCUGUGCACUUCCCAAACCGCUCCGGCGGACACUGCAACAGACCCAACCCCAGGUCUGCGUUCCAUCCGCCAUUCUACCGUGUCCGAGCUGGGCGCCUGGCCAUAGGCCCCGCCCAAUGCGGUGCCACAGGAAAAGUCCUCCUUGCGGGAAACCCAUCCGCCUCGCGCCCUCUGGUGGCCCCUAUAUGAACCUCACCUUAAUGGCUGAAGUAAAAGGUCGAUGGAAGUGAGUAGGGAGGGGCUCGUUUUCCCACAGGAUGAAGGAGUCCCGAAAUCAGAUCCUGCAAAUUACUCAUGGUCUCAUCCCUUUAUUUCGUUAAGUAUUUAUUUGCACAUUAAUUUCCUUUUUGAAGCAUUACACUCUCUAUGGCUUGAUGCUCUUCCAAGGGCUGUGGAAAUAACAGAGAUAAAACAAAUGAAGGAAGAUGAAAUAUUGGAACUUGUUUAGGAG